rnacentral:lncRNA from 1 species
GAUUAAUCGCAAGAUCUACGCAUACGAAGCAUCGCAACACAAGGCCCGCCUUGAAGAACAGCCAUUGUCGUCCAGUACAGCACAGCGAGUUCACGGUGAAGACGCCCCUGGCUUACCGGAACCUACCGGCGGAG